ACUGAAGGCAACAUGUGGUGGCAAGGGGUCACAGAGGUGUCCUUGCCCUCUCUGUCAGUCCUCCAGCCCAUCCAUAUUCACCCUGGGGUGUGGAGGACUGACAGCUACCCUGGCUUAGAGGGUCCCUGCCUCAGGGAGAUGACUGUCCAAGAGAGCCACACCAGGAUGGAGGACACACCUAUGAAUGUCACCCAGGUCUCUCAGCUGCCUACAGAUAAAUAACACUGUUCCCUAAGACUAUACAAUCCAGGACGUCCACACCUGUCACACACACACACCCCUGCCAGGCCAGCUUGGGCGAUGCCCACUCAUCUAUGGCAGAACCCAAAGAGCUAUAAUCACAACCCCUCUAACUGAGGCUGCCAUGGCAGGAAGCUUUAUAAUGGGUAUUUGCAUUUUCAGGCUAUGCCAAAGUGCCAAGCACUGCUCAUCACAGAGAGGGGACACAGGGCUGCCUAGCCAUGUACAGGUGUGCACAGGUGGAAGUGAACACAUGCUGUGAGGACCCCACGGUGUGCACCUCACCUGCAUACUUUGGCUGCAGGUAGAAGAGGCGAGCGAAGGACAGUCUUUGCAUCUCCCCUGGGGACAGGACAUCAUACCUGGGAAAAGCAAUGACAGUGAGUCCUUAUCCUUACAGGAAGUGACAGGGUCACUUUUGCCAAGGAAAGGCCUUGAAAGAAGGAAGUUUCCUGCAGAGGUUGCCUCUAGGACAGAGGCUUUCCUACUUAGCCACAAGAUAGGGCUCCUGGGACCCACUGUCUUCAUGGAGGAGCUGCCUGAAAGAGCUCAUCCUUACCAGUUCCAAUCCACCUGCUGGUCCAGACCGCCUGUCCUUGCCACCAAGCUGGACUGUAACAGAGAGAGGACAUAAAGUCCACACAAAGCCAGCCCUGUUUUCUGCAAUCCUAGCUUCCCACCACAAGUGUCUGUGAGAUGGACUCUGCACUGGCAAACCAAGGAACAGCACCCCGUGGGGCCCAAAAUCAGCCAGCAUCUGCACUGAGCCUGCAGAGCCCACAGAAGCCUCCAUUGGGAGACCUCGCAGAGAAGGUAACCUUUUCUCUCAUCUCACCCACUUUCCACCCCACUGCCCACCAGGGGUCAAGGCUGCAUGGGAGGCUGGGAGGACCGGCUCACCUUUCAUGCUCUCCCACAGGCCUCCCAGCACCCGCAGCAGGGAGGUCUUGCCAGUGCCUGUGUUGCCUGUGAUGAGCAGACUCUGCCCUUCACAGACCUUCAGGCUCAGGUCCUUGAUCAGUGGCUUAUCAGAGGAGGGGGCAACGAUGGAAACCCGAUCCAGCAGAAAAGCUGUGUCUGAUGGCUCUGCGAUUGGCCACCCUGAGGCCCUAGGGCAGAGAAGGGACAUGGAAAUACAGGCCAUGUGAAUGGUACAAUGGAGGUGCUUGGCCUAGAGGCAUUACCUUUGUUACUCUGACUUUCAAUCCCCAUGCCUCAGGGUGUAAAAGCAUUUGAGGAUGGGUGAUAUUAAAACGAGACUGUUAAAGAGUG